rnacentral:rRNA from 1 species
AUGAACGCUGGCGGCGUGCCUAAUACCUGCAAGUCGAGCGAACAGAUGAGGAGCUUGCUCCUCUGACGUUAGCGGCGGACGGGUGAGUAACACGUGGAUAACCUACCUAUAAGACUGGGAUAACUUCGGGAAACCGGAGCUAAUACCGGAUAAUAUAUUGAACCGCAUGGUUCAAUAGUGAAAGACGGUUUUGCUGUCACUUAUAGAUGGAUCCGCGCCGCAUUAGCUAGUUGGUAAGGUAACGGCUUACCAAGGCAACGAUGCGUAGCCGACCUGAGAGGGUGAUCGGCCACACUGGAACUGAGACACGGUCCAGACUCCUACGGGAGGCAGCAGUAGGGAAUCUUCCGCAAUGGGCGAAAGCCUGACGGAGCAACGCCGCGCGAGUGAUGAAGGUCUUCGGAUCGUAAAACUCUGUUAUUAGGGAAGAACAAAUGUGUAAGUAACUAUGCACGUCUUGACGGUACCUAAUCAGAAAGCCACGGCUAACUACGUG